rnacentral:lncRNA from 1 species
UACCUUGAAGAGAGGAGUACCGUUAAACGAGAGAGCCUUGAGGACGAUUUAAGAGCAUCAAACGUACACACCUUCACAUUUUGCUAACCAGUUGCUACUUUCUUUUUGAGUUAAAGACGCACACAAAAAAGAAUAAAGAGAAAAU